rnacentral:rRNA from 1 species
AUUGAACGCUGGCGGCAUGCCUAACACAUGCAAGUCGAGCGGAGCGGCGGACGGGUGAGUAAUGCCUAUGCAUCUGCCUGCUGGUGGGGGGUAACGUCCGGAAACGGGGGCUAAUACCGCAUACUAUCAGAUGAGCCGAGGUCGGAUUAUCUAGUUGGUGGGGUAAAGGCCUACCAAGGCGACGAUCCGUACCUGGUCUGAGUGGAUGAGCAGUCACCCGGGAACUGAGACACGGACCAAACUCCUACGGGAGGCAGAAGUGGGGAACUUUGGACAAGGGGCGAAAGCCUGCUCCAGACAUGCCGCGUGUGUGAAGAGGGUCUUCGGAUUGUAAAGCACUUUAAGUUGGGAGGCGGUACCAUCAGAAUAAGCACCGGCUAACUACGUGCCAGCAGCCGCGGUAAUAC